AUGUACACUGCCCUUCAGAUGAGGACGUCCUCACAAUCCUAAAAUGCGGACGUUGAUUUUCGACCGUUGGAUCUCAUCCAACGGCUGUGAUUUUAAAAGCCAUCUCGCGGGUACAAACAAGGCAUGGGUCGAGUAAGGGAAAGCUCGCGGGUCAAGUUGUUCCGGGGUCAAGCAAAUGCGGGUUAAAAUCUCUCCUUUCCUGGAGUCGUUCAAACGGAGAGAAGAGGAGACGACAGACGACGAAACGAAGAAGAGGACGACACCACCGAUCGGAAAUACUCCAAAAUAUGAGAUCCAAUCCUUACUUUAAAGAAACCAAUCCUUAAAGCUUGGCAUGGUUUCCGCUUCUUCAAGUGCCACAUCUGGAUGGCCGAAGAGGUCUUGUGCUUGCGGAUUGUAAUCAUUAUUGGGAUUUGUUAUUGCCGUACUUCAAGCAAUCAACCUUGGUAUAUUUAUGCGUAUGUGAUUGUUGAGCAACACUAGAAAUUCAAUGGGACCAGAUUUAUGUAAUUUGUGUACACACGUUCAUUUGUGUUCUUUUGGUGGAAUUUCAGUCCCGUCGACCUUUUGAAGUGGUUUGUAUUGGAUAAUUGAAUUUUCAGAGUGUUCAUUCAAGUGUUAGUUUCAAGUUUA